CCUCUCUCAGGGUUUCACCUGGAGAGUUUCCAGGACUCUACCAGGCUCGACUAUGUGAGAAAGAGUCAAGCAGAAGCAUACCUAUUCCAUUCCUAGCUUGGGCAGUGGCUAGCAAGUGGAAGGCAAUCUGCUACAAGC